UACAGAGGUGGCAAGCGUUGUUCGGAAUUACUGGGCGUAAAGGGCGCGUAGGCGGUCUUGUAAGUCUUGUGUGAAAUCCCUCGGCUUAACUGAGGAACUGCACGGGAUACUGCGAGACUUGAGAUCGGGGAGAGGGAAGCGGAAUUCCGGGUGUAGCGGUGAAAUGCGUAGAUAUCCGGGAGGAACACCGGUGGCGAAGGCGGCGUUCC
rnacentral:rRNA from 1 species